rnacentral:tRNA from 1 species
GUCGGUCUAGCUCAAUUGGUAGAGCAACUGACUUGUAAUCAGUAGGUUGGGGGUUCAAGUCCUCUGGCCGGCACCA